rnacentral:rRNA from 1 species
GGGCUUGCUCCUCAAGUUAGUGGCGAACGGGUGAGUAAUAUAUCGGAACGUGUCCGGAAGUGGGGGAUAGCUCGGCGAAAGCCGGAUUAAUACCGCAUAUGCCCUGAGGGGGAAAGCGGGGGAUCGCAAGACCUCGCGUGAUUGGAGCGGCCGAUGUCGGAUUAGCUAGUUGGUGGGGUAAAGGCCUACCAAGGCGACGAUCCGUAGCGGGUCUGAGAGGAUGAUCCGCCACACUGGGACUGAGACACGGCCCAGACUCCUACGGGAGGCAGCAGUGGGGAAUUUUGGACAAUGGGCGCAAGCCUGAUCCGGCCAUGCCGCGUGAGUGAAGAAGGCCUUCGGGUUGUAAAGCUCUUUCAGACGGAAAGAAAACGCUCCUGUUAAUACCGGGGGCGGAUGACGGUACUGUCAGAAGAAGCACCGGCUAACUACGUGCCAGCAGCCGCGGUAAUACGUAGGGUGCGAGCGUUAAUCGGAAUUACUGGGCGUAAAGCGUGCGCAGGCGGUUGUGUAAGACAGGUGUGAAAUCCCCGGGCUUAACCUGGGAACUGCGCUUGUGACUGCACGGCUAGAGUACGGCAGAGGGGGGUGGAAUUCCACGUGUAGCAGUGAAAUGCGUA